UCCUANNGGGNAGCAGCAGUAGGGAAUCUUCCGCAAUGGACGAAAGUCUGACGGAGCAACGCCGCGUGAGUGAUGAAGGCUUUCGGGUCGUAAAACUCUGUUGUUAGGGAAGAACAAGUGCUAGUUGAAUAAGCUGGCACCUUGACGGUACCUAACCAGAAAGCCACGGCUAACUACGUGCCAGCAGCCGCGGUAAUACGUAGGUGGCAAGCGUUAUCCGGAAUUAUUGGGCGUAAAGCGCGCGCAGGUGGUUUCUUAAGUCUGAUGUGAAAGCCCACGGCUCAACCGUGGAGGGUCAUUGGAAACUGGGAGACUUGAGUGCAGAAGAGGAAAGUGGAAUUCCAUGUGUAGCGGUGAAAUGCGUAGAGAUAUGGAGGAACACCAGUGGCGAAGGCGACUUUCUGGUCUGUAACUGACACUGAGGCGCGAAAGCGUGGGGAGCAAACAGGAUUAGAUACCCUGGUAGUCCACGCCGUAAACGAUGAGUGCUAAGUGUUAGAGGGUUUCCGCCCUUUAGUGCUGAAGUUAACGCAUUAAGCACUCCGCCUGGGGAGUACGGCCGCAAGG
rnacentral:rRNA from 1 species